rnacentral:lncRNA from 1 species
UUUCCAAUGUUUGGGUGGACAGAAAAUUUAGAGGAUGCUGCGCCAGUCAACAUUUCUCCCCAUUCUGGGAGGAGGAUUGAGGAAAUCCACAAGUUCAUAAGAACUUGUCUACCAGCAUUCAGAUCUUGAGAGUAUGGCCGAGUGCAAAGCUGCAUUCAUGGAAACAAAGGUUCUUACCCUGCUGGACUGGGUGGUUGGAGACUUCGCUCCUUCAGACCCCAUCACAAAGUAUGUUAGUGAAUAAAUUCUUAAAGACAAAAGGUUUUCCUGCAACCCUUUUAAUAAAAGCAAGGCUCUGGACUAACUGUCUGGAAACAAGCAUCCCAGGGAAUCUAAAGUGUCAUUUCCUCUCUGGAAGAAAGGAAGCACAAAACAAGCUAGGCUUCACUGACUUCAGUCAAUCAAUAUUGACAUAUUAUAGAACCUCAGAUCUGGAACCUUAUCUUCUGAUCUGGUAA